GAUGAACGCUAGCUACAGGCUUAACACAUGCAAGUCGAGUUGCAGCAUGGUCUUAGCUUGCUAAGGCCGAUGGCGACCGGCGCACGGGUGAGUAACGCGUAUCCAACCUGCCUUACACUCUUGGACAGCCUUCUGAAAGGGAGAUUAAUACAAGAUGUUAUCAUGAGUAAGCAUUUUCACAUGAUUAAAGGUUUACCGGUGUAAGAUGGGGAUGCGUUCCAUUAGAUAGUAGGCGGGGUAACGGCCCACCUAGUCUUCGAUGGAUAGGGGUUCUGAGAGGAAGGUCCCCCACAUUGGAACUGAGACACGGUCCAAACUCCUACGGGAGGCAGCAGUGAGGAAUAUUGGUCAAUGGACGAGAGUCUGAACCAGCCAAGUAGCGUGAAGGAUGAAGGUUCUAUGGAUUGUAAACUUCUUUUAUACGGGAAUAAACGGAUCCACGUGUGGAUUUUUGCAUGUACCGUAUGAAUAAGGAUCGGCUAACUCCGUGCCAGCAGCCGCGGUAAUACGGAGGAUCCGAGCGUUAUCCGGAUUUAUUGGGUUUAAAGGGAGCGUAGAUGGGUUGUUAAGUCAGUUGUGAAAGUUUGCGGCUCAACCGUAAAAUUGCAAUUGAUACUGGCAGUCUUGAGUACAGUUGAGGUAGGCGGAAUUCGUGGUGUAGCGGUGAAAUGCUUAGAUAUCACGAAGAACUCCGAUUGCGAAGGCAGCUUACUAACCUGUAACUGACAUUGAUGCUCGAAAGUGUGGGUAUCAAACAGGAUUAGAUACCCUGGUAGUCCACACGGUAAACGAUGAAUACUCGCUGUAGGCGAUAUACAGUCUGCGGCCAAGCGAAAGCAUUAAGUAUUCCACCUGGGGAGUACGCCGGCAACGGUGAAACUCAAAGGAAUUGACGGGGGCCCGCACAAGCGGAGGAACAUGUGGUUUAAUUCGAUGAUACGCGAGGAACCUUACCCGGGCUUAAAUUGCAACCGAAUAUGGCGGAAACGCUAUAGCUAGCAAUAGCGGUUGUGAAGGUGCUGCAUGGUUGUCGUCAGCUCGUGCCGUGAGGUGUCGGCUUAAGUGCCAUAACGAGCGCAACCCUUGCCGAUAGUUACUAACAGGUCAUGCUGAGGACUCUGUCGGGACUGCCAUCGUAAGAUGUGAGGAAGGUGGGGAUGACGUCAAAUCAGCACGGCCCUUACGUCCGGGGCUACACACGUGUUACAAUGGGGGGUACAGAGGGCUGCUACCACGCAAGUGGAUGCCAAUCCCAAAAACCUCUCUCAGUUCGGAUUGAAGUCUGCAACCCGACUUCAUGAAGCUGGAUUCGCUAGUAAUCGCGCAUCAGCCACGGCGCGGUGAAUACGUUCCCGGGCCUUGUACACACCGCCCGUCAAGCCAUGGGAGCCGGGGGUACCUGAAGUGCGUAACCGCAAGGAGCGCCCUAGGGUA
rnacentral:rRNA from 1 species